GUUCCAUAUGUCCGUGUCUCUGGUCUAGGCCAGACCAUGCAAACAAGGGGAUAAGCUUUGGGGGGGGGGGGAGAUGAGUCUCCUGGAAGAAUUGCAUGUUGAAAUUGCAUAGUCAUUCCUCCCCAUGAAAAUGAUUGUGCAACCCAAAAAGCGAAAGACCUACUGCAACCUCAUAAUCUCGCUGGAACUGAAUCCAUAUUUUCUCCUGCAGAGAAAAGGUAUCUCUAGAGCAGGGGGCUUCAAACUUGGCAACUGUAAGACUUGUGGACUUCAACUCCCAGAAUUCCCUAACCAUAAAUUCUGGGAGUUGAAGUCCACAAUUCUUAAAAAGCUGCCAAGUUUGGAGACCCCGGCUAAGCUGUCAUCACAUGUGAGGGACUUCAACCCCGGUGUGAAGAUUAUUUAUUACGUUCAUACCAUGUUUUUAAUUUUAUUCUAUGCGCAAUAAAUACUUUUACGAAUUCCAAGUGCUACCACUUGCCUUGAGUCAAAACCUCAUGUCUCCUUUCCUUCUUUUGCUAAUCUCAUUGGGAAAGAGCGCUAAGGUCCAACAGGAAAACGCUCGUCCAGGGGGCCCGAUGAAUCGGUUGAAAACCUUUCCGGGGAUUGACUUCAGUCUCCCUUCUACUUCGCGUUACAAAAGGACAGUUUCAGAGAAUUGAAGAUUGUUUUUCACAGCGGCUUGUCGUAAGAAUCACCAAAGAUUUGGUUUGAGAGAUUUAGUCCUUGUUGAGCCUUCACUGGUGAAAGACUGUCAUACCGAGAGGUUGGAGAAAUGUUAUCUUGAGUCCAUUGACUGGAAUUUAUUGCUUCAAAGGAAAAGCACAAACUGCUGUCACAACCUAUAGAGGCUUCAACUGAUCCAAUGUCUCAAUUUUCAGUUGUUUUAGAGUUCUUUUGUGAAGAUUUAGCUGUCUGGAGACAGUUCUUAAAUCUUUGCUUUUUCCCUUUUAAAAACAAUUCAGCGAGACAUAAAAAAAAAUAGACUGUUGUUAAGCAUAGUUCUUACUUGUAAGGGUGCAUAUACUCUUCAAAAAGCAAUGUACACAUUUCAUCCCAAAGCCUCAACAGUGUCUUCCUUGAUCAGUUGGUAACUUGCAACUGAGAGCCAGUUCUUUCAUCCGUCCGUCCGUCCAUCCAUACUGUAAUCAGUCCAUCACAUAUUGUUCAUUGUAUCAUUAGAAGGCAGGACAAGAUACAUCAGACCAACAUCCAUCUAGAUCCCAUUUGCUGAUGGAAGCAUUUUUUUCUUUUAACAACCUUGUAAUUCCUUGCAUUGAAGUGGAGUCAGGGCAACUGUAUGGAGCUGAGUGCUUGCUGGCUGGAUGCCCUUCCUGACACCUAGGUGAAGUUCACAGCAAUAUUUUCACUUCGCGCUCAGGGAGAGAAAUAUCUGCUGCUACCUGGAAUUGAACUCACAGCCUCCUUACUGUGAGGCAAGAGCUCCACCACCCCGUUCCAGCUGAUGGAAACAAGGACCAAGGUCAAAGAGAUCCAGGUUUGUGAUGUGAUGUUCACCUGGAGGUGUACCUCUCCUAUCAGAGGUUGCUACCCUUCAGCUUUAGCCUCCCCCUGCAGCACACAAUGAAAACUGAUACGCCAGGAUAGAGAUGGUAAUGAACUGCACUUGUGUGUGCUUUUUUCCCUUAGGUGCGUGUACCAAUCUGGCUUCAAACUCCUAGUGAGUCCUAAUUCUCCCCCCCCCCCAUAAGGAUUGGGAAUAAAUAUUUGAUCACUCUUAACUACUGUCCAGGAACUUUUGCUAAAGACAAGGAGAAGAACGUAACCACAAGAGAGUCCUUAUCUUACAAUCACUCACUGGCCAUUUGACGUGACAACAGCACUGGAAAAAGUGGUUUAUGGACCGGUCCUCGCACAUAACAACUGUCGCAGCCUCCCCAAAGUCAUGUGAUCAAAAAUCAGGUAUUUGGCCACUGGCAUGUAUUUAAACAGUUGCAAUUCCUGGGCUCAUGUGAUUGCCAUUCAUGACUUUCCCAGCCAGCUUCUGACAAGCAAAGUCAAGGGGGGGGGGGAGAGGGGAACUGUAUUCACUUAACUGUAGUGACUUGGUUAACAACUGUGGCAAAAAAGGUCAUAAAAUCAGGCGUUGACUUGCUUAACUGCCUUGCUUAGCAACCAAAAUUCUGUUUGUGGUCAUACCUUUGAGGAUUUAACCAUACUAGGCAGCUGCAGGAAUAACUAAACUUCACCCACGUUGCAUCCAAAGUAACCCUGCAGCCGUAACCCCCACGCAGGGGAUCUCACUACCACCAUCAGCACAAACGUUGUCCAGAAGAACUUUUAUAUAUAUAUUUAUGUAAAACAUUCUCCGCAAAGUUUUAUGCAAUACAUUAGUACAAACUGAUCAAGUAUUUACAAUGCGUUUUGUGGAGACCUGUUUGUUGAAAGAGAUUUCCAAUGGUGCCUUUUUGAGACCCAAAAGACUGUAAAUCUUUGGAAAGAGUUUCUAACUCACAUAAGAUGACCGCUUUUGAAGAAGUCACUUGGAAGCAUUUGUGCCCUUUACAAAUUUAACCAGGAUUAAUUGACCUGACUUUGGUGGAAGAAAUUUCAAUUGACUCAUCCCAUGCCACUAAUAGUCCUUUCUAGGAUCUGGAUCACCCCGUUCCUUAAAGUAAGAAAUACGUUAAUGAGCCAUGCCAAUCUGGCACAGAUCGAGGGUUUGAAUGAUAGAUUAUACUACCUUAAAUCACCAACCUGUUUAAGUUGCUACGGAAAAAUCUCUGCAGGUAACGAACUGGUGUUUCAAACCCUGAAGAAUCUUCCCCAUAGUUGAUAAAUGAUUAUAGGCUGAGCAGUCCCCAUCUGCUUCAUUCCCAACAAAGUUGUGUGACAACUCCCAGCCUAACUCACCUCUGACCUUCUACGAUCUUAGGUUCUUCAGGUAUAGAUAACUCUUCUAACAUAUUCCACUGCUCUUAUCAUACUCAGCAUUGGGCAGAACAAGAGUCGAACAGCAAAAUGGGAAGAUCAUGCUGCACCUCAAGUUGAGUUGACCUUCUCAACAUCAGCCUGGCGCCAAAAACCAUGCCUAGAGGCCCUAAUCCUGCUGGUCAACUGAACUUUGUACCUGCCAAAGCCUACCGAGAAUCAAAAUUCCUUGAACCUGCUUUCUAGCAUGCAAAACUUAGUUUUGCAAAGAAGAUGGUCCAACUAUGAGAUUCAGUCUCCUUUGAUUUCUAACCUGUCCUUGGUGGUCAACCCUACCUAUUAAUCCAGGUUACGAGUGUAACAAUGUAGACCAGGGUGUCCAGCCUUGGUGACUUGAAGAACUUGUGGACUUCAAGUCCUAGAAUUCCCCAGCCAUUUCCCAUGCUGGCUGGGGAAUUCUGGGAGUUGAAGUCCACAAGCCUUAAAAUGGCCAAGGUUGGACACCUCUGGUGUAGAUAUAUCCCGAAGGCAAGCAGUAUCGAUUUUUCGUUCUCCACUAAAUAUUCAAGGAUUUUCCUGUUUUUGGGUGUCAGGUAGGCAGCCUUGGAAAAGGGUUAGUGAACAUACUAAGGCAGAAGGAAAAGCCAUUUUGAUCCAGAAGGCAACCUCAUUCGAUCAUAAAUAAAGUUGACAGAGAAAAAGAAAAAAAAAAAUUGGCAGUGGAUAAACACCUUGCUUUGGUCAAAUGCCGAGGUAGCCACGGUUAAAAUCAAACCAAGUUGGCUGGAUUGGGGCACAUUGUAACAUUGGGGCACACUGUGACAUCCCCUCCCCUGCCUUAAAUUUAGUGCCACUUUAUCCUUGGAAUUUAAAACUGUUAGAAAUGAAAUGCACCACGGUCUUCUCAACUUCCUUAAAAAAAGAUAAAGCAAACCGAUCCAAUGUGUUGGCUAUUCUAAGGCAGGUUAAUACAGAAGAUCAACAAACCCAGUCCUACAUCUUCGUAGGUAA